GAUGAAGAACGUAGCGAAAUGCGAUAAGUAAUGUGAAUUGCAGAAUUCAGUGAAUCAUCGAAUCUUUGAACGCACAUUGCGCCCAUUAGUAUUCUAGUGGGCAUGCCUGUUCGAGCGUCAUUUCAACCCUUAAGCCUAGCUUAGUGUUGGGAAUCUGCUGUAUUGCAGUUCCUCAAAUACAACGGUGGAUCUGUAACAUCCUCUGAGCGUAGUAAAUUUUUAUCUCGCUUUUGUUAGGUGUUGCAGCUCUCAGCCGCUAAACCCCCCAAUUUUUGUGGUUGACCUCGGAUCAGGUAGGAAUACCCGCUGAACUUAAGCAUAUCAAUAAGCGGAGGA
rnacentral:misc_RNA from 1 species